rnacentral:rRNA from 1 species
UACGAAGGGUGCAAGCGUCACUCGGAAUUACUGGGCGUAAAGCGUGCGUAGGCGGUUCGUUAAGUCUGUCGUGAAAUCCCCGGGCUCAACCUGGGAAUGGCGAUGGAUACUGGCGAGCUAGAGUGUGGCAGAGGAUGGUGGAAUUCCCGGUGUAGCGGUGAAAUGCGUAGAGAUCGGGAGGAACAUCAGUGGCGAAGGCGGCCAUCUGGGACAACACUGACGCUGAGGCACGAAAGCGUGGGGAGCAAACAGG